UUUACAGUUUGUUGGUAUCUGCUGUGCUGCUGCUUCACUCUCUCUCUUUACAGAAAGUUGUAGAAGUUUUCAGACGUGUCACUGCUGGAUGUGAGGAUGGGAGCCACUUUGCUCUGUGAGCUGGGCCUAUUCUUGCUCUGUACGCUCCUCUGCACUGGACACGCUCAAGAUGCUGUGCUAACUAUUGAACCCAACUGGUCCAUUUUUUUCAUUGGAGAGUUCAUUGUCUUCAAAUGUGACAUGAAUGAAGGAAAAGACACUGACUGGAAAUAUAUAAUCAAGAAGGAUGGUCAAG